rnacentral:lncRNA from 1 species
CCCAACUAUUUCUUUCGUUUCUUUUAUUUUUGCUCUUUCCUUCUAAAAAUUCAUCUUAUAUUAAAUAUUAUGAUAAAAAAAAUUAGUUAAUGUAUGAUUUGUAGAAUAAAGGAGUUUAAAAUAUAAGCGUAUGAUCGUUUAAAGUUUGAGAUUGAUUUAAACAUAUACUAUUUUUAAUUAUUUUAAAUUUUAUUUUUUAUUUCAAAUGUUAUUGCUUUGACUGAAUUUCUCGACACCCCCACCAUUUUCUCUUUUAUUUCCUAUUUUCUUAGUUUCGUUUUCUUUUUCUAUUUUCUUUUAGAUAUUUUAAGUUUCAUACAAGUUUUGGUAUAUUUUUUUCAUUUCUAUAUAAUUUUUUGAAUCAAUGUUUUUUUAGCUUUUUAAAUUAUGAAAGUAAUAAUUAUUACUUAUUUAUUUAUUAAAACUACAAAUUUAAGAUAAUUACAUUAAAUUUAGUUUAAUUCUAAAAUAUUGUAAAUAUAUAAUA